rnacentral:rRNA from 1 species
CCUAACACAUGCAAGUCGAACGGCAGCAUAGGAGCUUGCUCCUGAUGGCGAGUGGCGAACGGGUGAGUAAUAUAUCGGAACGUGCCCUAGAGUGGGGGAUAACUAGUCGAAAGACUAGCUAAUACCGCAUACGAUCUACGGAUGAAAGUGGGGGAUCGCAAGACCUCAUGCUCCUGGAGCGGCCGAUAUCUGAUUAGCUAGUUGGUGGGGUAAAAGCCUACCAAGGCGACGAUCAGUAGCUGGUCUGAGAGGACGACCAGCCACACUGGGACUGAGACACGGCCCAGACUCCUACGGGAGGCAGCAGUGGGGAAUUUUGGACAAUGGGGGCAACCCUGAUCCAGCAAUGCCGCGUGAGUGAAGAAGGCCUUCGGGUUGUAAAGCUCUUUUGUCAGGGAAGAAACGGUAGUAGCUAAUAUCUAUUACUAAUGACGGUACCUGAAGAAUAAGCACCGGCUAACUACGUGCCAGCAGCCGCGGUAAUACGUAGGGUGCAAGCGUUAAUCGGAAUUACUGGGCGUAAAGCGUGCGCAGGCGGUUGUGUAAGUCAGAUGUGAAAUCCCCGGGCUCAACCUGGGAAUUGCAUUUGAGACUGCACGGCUAG